GAAAUUUUGUUCUCUGAAGUUUUGAAACAAACACACGUGCAGAAAUACGUAAACUAUAAAAUCCUGGGUUAAAUUUUAACCUGCUGUUAAAUAUUUAGUUUAUGUAUUUCUGCACGUCUAUUUAUUUCCAAACUUCAGAGAAGAAAACUUUC